rnacentral:rRNA from 1 species
AUGAAUGAACCUAUGAGGUGUAGUUCUUCUCGCUAUUUUCAUUUCGAGUGUAAUAAUCUGCUGGAGGUAUUUUCCAUUCAGACUAGUGAAGUUUUGCAUCCUGCAAGUGUGCAUAUGUAUUCUGGAAGAAAAAGAAAAGCAUACCCAAUGGCCGAUGUCGGAGUAGAAGCAUCAGUGCGCACCACCACUAGCUCUUCCUCGACCCUCCUUGCGACAGCCUUCCGCUGCGGCCACUGCCUCCUCCUGGACCGCGCUUCAGCAACAUGCAGCACCUUCAUUGCCCGUGCUUCAUCUGACACACUGGAGGGUUUGCACCAAGCCUCCAUCACUGUCCCUGACUGCCUAUCUAUAUGUGUUUUCUCUCACUCGAUGUAUUUGUAUCAUAUGAAAUCGAAAUGCAAUGGACUGAUGUAUUGGUAA